AACAUUGCGAGAUUGUCAUCGGUGGAGUCUUCUGCGAUGACACUGCGAUGACAGUGUAAAACUGUUGAUACGAGGAUUGCUGGCGGCGUUGGCCAGAUUUUGUUGCUGGCGAAUUUUGCAGAACGGAUGGUUUUUCAUUUUAAAUGAUGUUGCUGCCAGACAGGUCAGUACCUGGCCACCAGUGUGGCCGCGUGUUGGUUUUUGGUACGUCCGGUGUAUAUAUAGGGGUUGCUGCUGUCGGCAAAUAAUUUUCCGGUAAGUGUUGUGU